GAGUCAUCAUAAUUCGCUGCCUACCCCUGGACUACUGUGCUGAAGAACUAGAAAAUCUGGAUUAUUUUUCUUGAAACUAUUUAUGUAAUUCUCAUCAAGAAGAAACUAUUUAUCGAAUAACAAGUAUCAUGAUCUUUCUCAGGUGUAUUAGAAAAUGUUAUAUCCAAGGGAAUGACCAUAUAUAGCUAUGUGAAGGCUUGCAAAAGAUUGGGAAUGACAUUCUUAGAGUGCAUGAAAAAGAUACUGCUAGUUCAGCAAGAGAGAAAAAGAAAACAACAAUGAUGACUGAAAAUAAUACUAGGAUC
rnacentral:lncRNA from 1 species